rnacentral:rRNA from 1 species
CCCUAUGGGGUGCAGCAGGCGCGAAAACUUCACAAUGCGGGCAACCGCGAUGAGGGAACUCCAAGUGUCUUGGCAAUGCUAAGACUGUUUUCUUGUCUAAAAAACAAGGAGAGUAAGGGCUGGGUAAGACUGGUGCCAGCCGCCGCGGUAAUACCAGCAGCUCAAGUGGUGAUCCUUAUUAUUGGGCCUAAAGCGUCCGUAGCCGGUUUAGUAAAUCCUUGGGUAAAUCGUACAGCUUAACUGUGCGACUUCUGGGGAGACUGCUAGACUUGGGACUGGGAGAGGUCGGAGGUACUCCAGGGGUAGGGGUGAAAUCCUGUAAUCCUUGGGGGACCACCAGUGGCGAAGGCGUCCGACUAGAACGGAUCCGACGGUGAGGGACGAAGCCCUGGGGCACAAACCGGAUUAGAUACCCGGGUAGUCCAGGGUGUAAACGCUGCGAGCUUGGUGUUGGGGGUCCUACAUGGGCGCCCAGUGCCGGAGAGAAGUUGUUAAGCUCGCCGCCUGGGGAGUACGAUCGCAAGAUUGAAACUUAAAGGAAUUGGCGGGGGAGCACCGCAACGGGUGGAGCGUGCGGUUCAAUUGGAUUCAACGCCGGAAAACUCACCGGGAGCGACUGUUACAUGAAGGUCAAGCUGAUGACUUUACCUGAUUUUCAGAGAGGUGGUGCAUGGCC